rnacentral:lncRNA from 12 species
UUGAUAAAGCCGCGAGGUGUGCCACCUGGAGUAGGAGAAUGAAGGGUCACAGCCCUCCAGCGGGAAGAGGACUGCGCUCCCCAGGCUUUUGAGAAUGGAGACUGAGAUCGCCUGCGCUGUGGAGCUUUGCGGGGAGGAAGGGUGAGGAAUGACCUGGCAGGGCAGGGGUAUAAGCAGAGAGGGUGCCGAGGGG